GAUGAACGCUGGCGGCGUGCCUAAUACAUGCAAGUCGAGCGAACAGACGAGGAGCUUGCUCCUCUGACGUUAGCGGCGGACGGGUGAGUAACACGUGGAUAACCUACCUAUAAGACUGGGAUAACUUCGGGAAACCGGAGCUAAUACCGGAUAAUAUAUUGAACCGCAUGGUUCAAUAGUGAAAGACGGUUUUGCUGUCACUUAUAGAUGGAUCCGCGCCGCAUUAGCUAGUUGGUAAGGUAACGGCUUACCAAGGCAACGAUGCGUAGCCGACCUGAGAGGGUGAUCGGCCACAAUAGAAGGAAGGAGCGGUCCAGAAGCCUACGGCAGGCGGCAGUAGGGAAGCUUACGCAAUGGGCGAAAGCCUGACGGAGCAACGCCGCGUGAGUGAUGAAGGUCUUCGGAGCGUAAAGCUCUGUUAUUAGGGAAGAACAAGUGUGUAAGUAACUAUGCACGUGUUGACGGUACCUGAACAGAAAGCCACGGCUAACUACGCG
rnacentral:rRNA from 1 species